UACGAAGGGGGGCUAGCGUUGCUCGGAAUGACUGGGCGUAAAGGGCGCGUAGGCGGCGCAUUUAGUCAGGCGUGAAAUUCCUGGGCUCAACCUGGGGGACUGCGCUUGAUACGGGUGUGCUUGAGGAUGGAAGAGGCUCGCGGAAUUCCCCAGUGUAGAGGUGAAAUUCGUAGAUAUUGGGAAGAACACCGGUGGCGAAGGCGGCGAGCUGGUCCAUUACUGACGCUGAGGCGCGACAGCGUGGGGGAGCAAACAGG
rnacentral:rRNA from 1 species